AUUGAACGCUGGCGGCAUGCCUUACACAUGCAAGUCGAACGGUAACAGGUCUUCGGAUGCUGACGAGUGGCGAACGGGUGAGUAAUACAUCGGAACGUGCCUAGUAGUGGGGGAUAACUACUCGAAAGAGUGGCUAAUACCGCAUGAGAUCUACGGAUGAAAGCAGGGGAUCGCAAGACCUUGUGCUACUAGAGCGGCCGAUGGAAGAUUAGGUAGUUGGUGGGAUAAAAGCUUACCAAGCCGACGAUCUGUAGCUGGUCUGAGAGGACGAUCAGCCACACUGGGACUGAGACACGGCCCAGACUCCUACGGGGGGCAGCAGUGGGGAAUUUUGGACAAUGGGCGCAAGCCUGAUCCAGCAAUGCCGCGUGCAGGAUGAAGGCCUUCGGGUUGUAAACUGCUUUUGUACGGAACGAAAAGCCCUGUGUUAAUACCCUGGGGUCAUGACGGUACCGUAAGAAUAAGCACCGGCUAACUACGUGCCAGCCGCCGCAGUAACAC
rnacentral:rRNA from 1 species